rnacentral:rRNA from 1 species
AACGAACGCUGGCGGCAGGCCUAACACAUGCAAGUCGAGCGCGCCCUUCGGGGUGAGCGGCGGACGGGUGAGUAACGCGUGGGAACGUGCCCUUUUCUACGGAAUAGCCUCGGGAAACUGAGAGUAAUACCGUAUACGCCCUUUGGGGGAAAGAUUUAUCGGAAAAGGAUCGGCCCGCGUUGGAUUAGGUAGUGGGUGGGGUAAUGGCCUACCAAGCCGACGAUCCAUAGCUGGUUGGAGAGGAUGAUCAGCCACACUGGGACUGAGACACGGCCCAGACUCCUACGGGAGGCAGCAGUGGGGAAUCUUAGACAAUGGGGGCAACCCUGAUAUAGCCAGGCCGCGUGAGUGAUGAAGGCCUUAGGGUUGGAAAGCUCUUUCAGCUGGGAAGAUAAUGACGGUACCAGCAGAAGAAGCCCCGGCUAACUACGUG